AGAAGAGGCUGGCGAAAACAAGCAGAGAGGGAAAGGGAUGGGAUCGAUCCUUGAUCAGCUUAGUUACUAGGCAGUCUUGACUGGCGAACACAAGCGAGAGAGAGGAACGAUAAUAAUGACUUGACCUCAAAUCAGGUAGGACUACCCGCUGAACUUAAGCAUAUCAAUAAGCGGAGGAAAAGAAACUAACAAGGAUUCCCCUAGUAACUGCGAGUGAAGCGGGAAAAGCUCAAAUUUUGAAUCUGGCGGUCCUUGUGGCCGUCCGAGUUGUAAUCUAGAGAAGUGUUUUCCGCGCUGGACCGUGUACAAGUCUCCUGGAAGGGAGCGUCAUAGAGGGUGAGAAUCCCGUCUUUGACACGGACUGCCAGUGCUAUGUGAUGCGCUCUCGACGAGUCGAGUUGUUUGUGAAUGCAGCUCAAAAUGGGUGGUAAAUUCCAUCUAAAGCUAAAUAUUGGCGAGAGACCGAUAGCGAACAAGUACCGUGAGGGAAAGACGAAAAGAACUUUGGAAAGAGAGUUAAACAGUACGUGAAAUUGCUGAAAGGGAAACGCUUGAUGUCAGUCGCGUCCGCCAGGGAUCAACCUAGCUUGAUUGCUUGGUGCAUUUCUUGGUCGGACGGGUCAGCAUCGGUUUCGAUCGGGGUAUAAUGGCGGAGGGAAUGUGGCACCUCUAGGGGUGUGUUAUAGACUUUCGUCGUAUGCUUGGGUGGAGACCGAGGAACUCGACACGGACUUUCGAUAG
rnacentral:rRNA from 1 species